UUGCACGCUGGCGGCAUGCUUUACACCUGCAAGUCGAACGGUAACAGGCCUUCGGGUGCUGACGAGUGGCGAACGGGUGAGUAAUGCAUCGGAACGUGCCCAGAGGUGGGGGAUAACGCAGCGAAAGCUGUGCUAAUACCGCAUGUGAUCUGAGGAUGAAAGCGGGGGACCAGGCAGCAAUGUUUGGCCUCGCGCCUUUGGAGCGGCCGAUGUCAGAUUAGGUAGUUGGUGGGGUAAAGGCCUACCAAGCCGACGAUCUGUAGCUGGUCUGAGAGGACGACCAGCCACACUGGGACUGAGACACGGCCCAGACUCCUACGGGAGGCAGCAGUGGGGAAUUUUGGACAAUGGGCGCAAGCCUGAUCCAGCAAUGCCGCGUGCGGGAAGAAGGCCUUCGGGUUGUAAACCGCUUUUGUACGGAACGAAAAGGCUCUGGCUAAUACCUGGGGCUGAUGACGGUACCGUAAGAAUAAGCACCGGCUAACUACGUG
rnacentral:rRNA from 1 species